GUCCCUUCAAAGACAUUUGAUAAAAUUGGAAUAAUAUAGAAAACAUUAGCAUGACCCCUGCACAAGGCUGACACACACAAAUUGAGAAAUAGUGUUUUUAUUA